UGUGCGGUCGUCUGCCCUGCGGCCUCCUGCGCGCGCGGACGGAAGGCCCCCUCACGCGUGCCCCCCGUGUGCGCCCCCGCACCGUAGUAGCGUGUCGGGCCUCUAGACCCAGUGGGGGGUCCGGAGCCACCCGGCGGGACAGAGGUCGGCCGCGUUCCCGACGCUGUCACCGGGGCGUGAGCGUCCCGCGCACCUGCCAUCCGGGCUGGCAGUGGGUAGGGGAAGCCUUCGUGGUUUGGCUGUGUCUGCCGCCCCCACGGCAUAGAUCUCUAGGCACACGACCCCUGCAGGUCGGCCCGUAGGCCUUCCUCCCCUGAGGCUCCGUUCUCGCGCGUGUCGGGACCGAGCCCCGAGAGGGAGACCGUGUGUGGCAGGCGGGAGGGUGGGGCACGGCGUGUGGUGUGGCCGGGGGAGAUGCGUCCACCGCCCCGAGGACGGCGUGCAGGCCCCGCCUGCACUCCUCCAGGAGCGGGCUGGAGCACUGACCUGGGAGGGAGGAGAGUGAGCGGGAGGAAGAGCCCGCCGGCGCCCAGUGCCGAGGAGGGCGGGGGCGGCAGCCCCGCUGUGCGCACUGCUGUUCCCUGAGCCCGUGUGGACGCGUGCUCUCUGUCUUCACCUGCCCGCUCGCCGUGCUGUCUCCGCCACGGAGCCCCGCACAGAGCGGGCGUUCUGUAAGCGCUGGCCGGACGCAGGACGUCCUGGUGGGUAAGUGUCUGAGGAUCCCUGUGCCCGCAGGGCUCGAGCCCCGGUGGGAGGCGGACAGCUCGGGACGCGGUAGGGGCUGCUGGAGGCUCGGCGAGCGGUACUUACUUUCGUCCUACGCGAGGCGCCAGCGAGUGCUGACAGCCACGCAGGCCUUGUUGCCACACGUGUGCACUGUAAUGACCCGCCGUUGGAGCGCAAGCGCCCCUGCCACCUGACCAACGGCUGGAAAUACCAGAAAGACGGUGGGGGGCAGCCACGGGGAAAGGGGAAGGUGGUGAGAGAGGGGCGGCGCGGUUCUCGAAUGGGGGACUGGUUCCCCGGGUAACAGCACGGUAGGGAGCUCUGGCAAGCCGCGAAGUAGCGUCGUUCGAGAGCGGGCACCACGGAUGCGAGCGUGCAGGUGCAGUAAGGGGGCAGGUCGGGGCAAAGGUCAGCGACUGGAGCCCGUUCCCUGCUUAGGCCAGAGAGGAGCCGAGGGGAAACGUUCCCCGUCCUCGCUGCAUUGUGAAGGGACUGUGCCGAGAAACACGGGUGGAUGGCAGCCACGCCCAUGCAUGCUGGCUGCCCCUUCGGGAGGACGUCGGCAGACCCCGGGUCACUGCCCAGCAGUAGUGUGCCCCUGAAGCCUGAACGUGGAUCCAGAGCGGCCCCCAAGGCACCCGGGACCGGCCUGGUCUUGUGCGGUAACCCUUGGUGAGUCCCUGACGAGUGGCUGUGCUUCCUGCGUCCACCAGGUGUCCCUUCUCACGCUCACCAGGCAAUGGCAGGUGGAACCUGUCCUGGUCACCAUCAGACGGCGUUCCAUCGAGGACUAAGUUCCUGAAGUCCCCGGCUCUGGUGUGUGGUCAGUGACUAGGGCACAGCAAGCAGUGAUUCUCGGGGACAGAGUGUUGUCAUCAAGAGGCGCUACCAGGUCCUGAGUGCGUCCGGGGUCUUUGUCACCCAGGCGAUGACGUAAGCGGGUGCGUAGAUUGAAAGUAAGUGGACGUGUGCCACCAGCACUGUGCUUCCUGGAGAUGGACAGGCGCCUCUGAAGAUGGAGCUGGCGGGCAUGGACGGGCUGUAGGGAUUCCUUUGGUGACAACCGUUAAUCGCUGGCGGGCAGUUAUGCCUGAAAAGCUAACAAGGCGCAGCGGUUAUGCCGCGUCUUGGCACCAGCUGCAGCCAGGGUUUAACCAGCUCUUUGCCAGCCUGCCGUGGGAGGGCCAGGGAGUUCAGUGGUGCGGGCUCUGCCGGCCAGGCGGUUUCUGUCUCAGCCGCUCGUUGCUGAUGGUGCGACACAAAGGCAGCCCUCAAGUAAGCAGACACAGGAAUGUGGGUUUUGUUUCAGUUCCCCAUCGUGAAGUACUAUUCCAUUGACUUUUCUCAACUAUCUAGAAGCCUUGGGUUUAGAAGCUUUGCCAUUUUUAGCUUUGGGUCCUACAAACAGCAACCACAUUUGGCCCUGAGGUCAUCGUCAGCUGAUUCCUGUUCUAAGAUGCAAAGUAGUAAGGAAACUUCUGAGAAGUAACUUUUGACUCCGAUUUUUCCUUCCACAGGAGUUAGUUUCUGAGUCUGGUAGUUCGGUCUUUAAACAAUUUAAUGUUCCAACUUCUCUGUUGUUCCCUUAUCAAUAAAUAUCUGAGCACCAACCAUUUGAAGUUGCGGGGUAAAGCGAAGGAGCCCCAUCACGCUCCCAGGUUUGAGGUCUGGCAGAGGCUGAGAGGCAGCUGGUCGGAGACUGAGAUGUAGUCUUGGCUGCACACAGAGGGGAUCACGUGAGCUUUACUGUCUCCAAAACCAAGGGGUAAGACGAGAUGAUCGCCAAGGUCUCAGUUGCCCCACGUACACUGUUCUUUAAACUGAUUUUCUAGCUGAAAUGUGGGCAUGAAGUCGAGCACUCAUUUAACCUUGUUUCCUUGCCAUAAACAGCUAGUUCUUGUAACAAACCUGAGUCCAGACGUGAUAACCCCCCUGGGGAGCUGGACCUGCUCAGAGAGGAAGUGACUUAUUUCUCAAAGUAAACCCAGAAGCCUGUCCUUCCAGAUCUGUCUGACACAGGUACUCAGUUCAGCUCAGCCAUGCGCUUGAUGGCCCCUUGAUGUUCAGAGAAUAAGCUGUGAUCCCUGGGCAGCAGAAUCAACAUCACUUGAAGUACGAAAGUGGCACCACACCUGCUCCACCGACCCUAGAUCCCCCAGGUCAGACUCUGCAGUUUAGAUUCCCAGGUAUAUUUUCAAGAAAGGAUGACCCCACCCCAUCACUGACACCUGGGAACUUGUGAGCAGUGCAAGUGCUGGGGCCCAGCAAUGUCCUGAUGAGCUCUCUUGUGAUCCUCACGUCAGAAGUCUGAGAACCACUGAAUUAGGUGCUGAAGGCACAGACAAGGGCUGAGCCACACUGCAGCACAGUCUGGUCAGGAGGGUGACACCGACCUGCAUGGACACAGGCAUCACAGUUUUCACACUGUAGUAACUUGGAAAUGUUGCAACCGUGUCAACGGAGACAAAAAAGCCAAAGUAACACGAAUCUUACUUUCAUGCAGCUAUCAGAGAAACUCUUCCAAGAUGUGCUACGGAAGCCCUCAUUUUACAAGUGAGGAAACAAGGCUGAGAGAGACUGAACACCGUGUCUGAGACCAGAGCAGGACAAGCACAUGCCAGAGCACGAGCCACGGUGGAGCCCACCGGCCCUCUCCACUGCUACAGAGGUCGCCCUCCGUGCCCCUGUCCAGGCCUCCCCACCCCUCCAUCCCCGUUCUGAUGGGGCACGGUAACAAACCCAAUACAAUGUGCUGCUACUUCAUAAUCCAUACAAAGCAUUCAUUCUGUAGUCAGUGGUGGGAUUACCCAUGUUUCCUGCCUUGACAGCAUCAGCUAGGGAUGCAUCUAUCUCUGAAGGAACGGAACUACGUUUUUGGAAACUUACACUAUCCAUAGGUUUCUUGCCACUAAACUUCUAUUUAAAUUAAAUGAAGACUAAAAAUUCACUAUGGAGAGGAAUAAAGUCUCUUGUUCCAUAGUUUCUCACGGUAAUGACAGUUACAUAAAACCCUCACAACUUCAGGCACGACAGACAUUUAAAUACUUGGAAAGGCCUUUGGAUCAUGUAGCUGACUUGCUAUUUUUCCCCUUUACUUUUAGUAUCUGUGAACUUUCAUCAGUGUCCAGUCACGGCUAUUAGUGACAGUGUUACUCAGAACAAUACUUUAAGGCUUUGAUAUCACAAUGAAAGAGGCAGCUAUAAUUUCAUAGUAUGGUUCACAUUCUUUGUAUGAAAUACGUAACUAUGCAAAAAUAAGUUUACAGGGGCGCCCGGGUGGCUCAGUCGGUUGAGCGUCCGACUUCGGCCCAGGUCACGAUCUCGUGGUUCGUGAGUUCGAGCCCCGCAUCAGGCUCUGGCUGUCAGCUCGGAGCUUGGAGCCUGCUUCAGAUUCUGUGUCUCCCUCUCUCUCUGCCCCUGCCCUGCUCA